rnacentral:ncRNA from 1 species
UACCUGCUUGAUCCUGCCAGUAGCAUGUGCUUGUCUGAGUACACACGGGGGGUACAGUGAGACCACAAAGGGCUCGUUAAAUCAGUUAUGGUUCCUUUGGUCACUCCUCUCCCACUCCUUGGAUAACUGUGGUAAUUCUCCAGCUAAUGCAGAAAGAUUGUGGUGGUUUCACUGGGCUGCAACCAAACGCAGCCGCUCGCUCAUUCCCCCCCUUCCCCAGGGGAUAGGGGAGAGAA